rnacentral:lncRNA from 1 species
AUUCAAGAAAAUAAUAAUCAUGGUCCCCCCAAAAUGAGGUGUAACCAUAACAAGGGCAGAAAAAGGGUAAACAUCCACCCUCCAGGGACAGCUCUUUUAGGUCCUUAUGAACUGUAAAUAGUUGGAUUUCUUGACAGUGGUAGCUCCUUUAAAGAAAACUAAGUUCCACCCUCUAAAAGAGUUAUGAAAGUUAGAUUAGGUUCAUUUCUCUGUAUUUCUGGGAAACUUAAAAAUGAUUUCAGAUGAUGAUUGUCACCCCACCGAUGAAAAACAGAUGAAAGUUAAGAGAGUGGCUUAUCUGUUACAACCGUAGGCUGAAAGCUGACUGAGUCAAGACUAAAUUUCCACUCAAACGAUUCCUCCAUGAACAACUAACCUAAGCCUUUUCACAAACACAAUGUACUUUCAAUAUAGUUUUUAAAAUAAUACCCCUCAAAGAAUUGGCUUUUUUUGUGAGUACAAAAACGAUAGCAUUAUUUUUACAGCACAUAUACGCAAUUCUGAUACACAUAUAUACGUUGUGCUUUUGUGUUUGUUGUUUCUGUUCAGUUUAGUCACCUCAUAUUGGCAUUGAGAGACUACAGAAAGAAUACCAGACUGGAAUUCCAGAGACUUAGGUCUAAAUUCCACAUGUGACACUAGUUAAGCCCUCUGAUCUCUGCAGAGUUUAGAUUUUUAAGAUGAAUGAGGUACACUCCCUAAAGCCCUAUUACUUGAGUUCCGUAAUGUAUCAACCUGAAAAAGUGUUUUCAGAUUAAGCCAACUGCCCAUUAUUAACAUGUACAAAUGGUGUCUUAAUAUGGUGUCUAAUAUUGUAUGCGAACAAGUGCCUGUUGAUACAUUUGUGGGCAUCUCCCGUAAGCCACUUCUAGGUGGUGUCUUAGGACAGCCACCUCUGUACUUAGGAACACUACCUUUCAUUUCAUGGCCCUCCCUACUUUGUUGGGAAAACAGAAAUUAUGAAAGUAUGGUUUUAUUUGUUACUAUUAUUUUGUUAUCUUCUCAGUCAUAAAAUACUUAAUGGCUACAAACCAAGUAGUUUCUAAAUUAUAUUAUUUAUUAAUUCUCUUUCCAAAAAGUGAGGAUUGCUGUCCCCAAGAUGUAUAAUUAAUCCCUCCCAAUGAUAUUCUUGUAUCUCUGGAUGCUUAUCUCUCUUCUUUUUCCUAUCAUUUUUUUUUCCCCAUGCAGGACUUUCUGGUACCAAUAACUGACAUGCUACUCGCAUCAAAUUGAAAAGGAAACAAGAAAGAUUUAACAGCUCAGAAAACUCAACUAGAAAUGGACCUGAGUUCAAGAAGAAUUAGCUGUGGGGAGCUAAGCAAAGAUGACUUCCAAGACCCUUGGCCUGCAGUGGGAUUUCAAACAAAACCACGUGUGAACACUUUUCCUGUUUCCAGAACUUGGGAGGAAGAAAGAGGAGAAUAAUGAAGAGGGAUAAGAGAGGAAGGAGAAGAAGGG